rnacentral:rRNA from 1 species
GAUGAACGCUGGCGGCGUGCCUAAUACAUGCAAGUAGAACGCUGAAGGAGGAGCUUGCUCUUCUGGAUGAGUUGCGAACGGGUGAGUAACGCGUAGGUAACCUGCCUGGUAGCGGGGGAUAACUAUUGGAAACGAUAGCUAAUACCGCAUGACAACAGUUAUUGCAUGAUAACUGUUUAAAAGGGGCAACUGCUCCACUACCAGAUGGACCUGCGUUGUAUUAGCUAGUUGGUGAGGUAACGGCUCACCAAGGCGACGAUACAUAGCCGACCUGAGAGGGUGGACGGCCAACAUGGGACUGAGACACGGCCCCAGCUCCUAAGGGGGGCAACAGUAGGGAAUCUUCGGCAAUGGACCGAAGGCUGACCGAGGAACGCCGCGUGAGGGAAGGAGGUUUUCGGAUCGUAAAGAUCUGUUGUAUGGGAAGGACGAGUGUGGGAGUGGAAAGUUCACACUGUGACGGUAUCUUACCAGAAAGGGACGGCUAACUACGUG